UACGUAGGGGGAUAGCGUUGUCCGGAAUCAUUGGGCGUAAAGCGCGUGUAGGCGGUCCGGUAAGUCCGCUGUGAAAGUCGGGGGCUCAACCCUCGAAUGCCGGUGGAUACUGUCGGGCUAGAGUGCGGAAGAGGCGAGUGGAAUUCCUGGUGUAGCGGUGAAAUGCGCAGAUAUCAGGAGGAACACCAAUUGCGAAGGCAGCUCGCUGGGACGUUACUGACGCUGAGACGCGAAAGCGUGGGGAGCAAACAGG
rnacentral:rRNA from 1 species